CAGUCGCCACGGUAAUACGAAGGGUGCAAGCGUCAAUCGGAAUUACUGGGCGUAAAGCGUGCGUAGGCGGUGAGUUAAGUCUGCUGUGAAAUCCCCGGGCUCAACCUGGGAAUGGCAAUGGAUACUGGCAAGCUAGAGUGUGUCAGAGGAUGGUGGAAUUCCCGGUGUAGCGGUGAAAUGCGUAGAGGUCGGGAGGAACAUCAGUGGCGAAGGCGGCCAUCUGGGACAACACUGACGCUGAGGCACGAAAGCAUGGGGAGCAAGCAGGAUUAGAUACCCCCGUAGUCCCUGUCUCUUAUAC
rnacentral:rRNA from 1 species